rnacentral:rRNA from 1 species
UACGCUUCUCUAGUUACCCAUGCAUGUUUAUUGAAUAUUAACAAAAGACGAACAGCUCAGUAACUCUUAUUUGAUUUGAUGUAUUAGGAUUCUAACUAUGUUAAAUUAUAGGUAACAAUAAUACAAUAAGAAUAAGAUCUAUCAGUUAGUUGUUAAGGUAAUGGCUUAACAAGACUAUGACGGAUAACGGUAUUACUUUGUAAUAUUCCGGAGAAGGAGCCUGAGAGAUUGCUACUAAGUCUAAGGAUUGCAGCAGGGGCGAAACUUGACCUAUGAUAUUAUAUUGAGGCAGUUAUGAAAGGACGUAAGUAGUAUUUUAUAAUUAUUGUAGUAUUGUAAGUACAUAUUACAAGAUAAAUCGGAGGGCAAAUCGAGUGCCAGCAGCCGCGGUAAUACUUGUUCCGAUAGUGUGUAUGAUGAUUGAUGCAGUUAAAAAGUCUGUAGUUUAUUUAUAAUAAGCAUUGUAAGGGGAUACUGGAUGGGUUGGGAAAAAUCUGAAAUUGGGCACACCCCCUGAAGAUGGGCCUAUGAAAAUCCAAAAGGAAGUAAUGGCUUUAAAAGGGAUUUUUUUCAAGUAUACUUAAAUGUAUUAUUAGAACCAAGGACGUAAGCUAGAGGAUCGAAGAUGAUUAGAUACCAUUGUAGUUUCUAGCAGUAAACUUAUGUGAAUCAUAGAAUAUAUUUUGAUAUAUAUUUAUGUAGAGAAAUUAAGAUUAUAUUGACUCUGGGGAUAGUAUGAUCGCAAGAUUGAAAAUUAAAGAAAUUGACGGAAGAAUACCACAAGGAGUGGAUUGUGCGGCUUAAUUUGACUCAACGCGGGGUAAUUUACCAGGUAUAACAUGGUAUAAUAUUUUAUCAUGAUAGUGGUGCAUGGCCGUUUCCCAAUGGAUGCUGUGAAGUAAUGAUUAAUUUUCAACAAGAUGUGAGAGGAUCAUAAACCCUCAUUUAGACAGAUGUAGUGAUACAUAUGAAGGAGAGGAUUAAAACAGGUCCGUUAUGCCCUAAGAUAAUCUGGGUUGCACGCGCAAUACAAUAAUAUUUGAUAUUAUAAGGGAUAAUAUAAUGUAAGAUAUAUUUGAACAUGGAAUUGCUAGUAAAUUUUAUUUAAUAAGUAGAAUUGAAUGAGUCCCUGUUCUUUGUACACACCGCCCGUCGCUAUCUAAGAUGGUGGAACUAUGAACUUCCUUAUAAAGGAGGAAAGACAGUCUGAAUUCCCCCCCCCCCC